UAAUCCAAGUAAAAAACGAAUAGGAACAAUUGUUUUUCCAAAAGUGUUGACAGCAGGCGUCGCCAUUUUUAAAAAAAAUAAUCUAGUAAUUUUAGUUGACAGAUGUUCUAGUCAGUGCGCCGUUAAGAUUCUAGACUUCCGGUGCUGCCGCCAUCUUUGUUUCGUACUAGUUCAAUGCUUUUGAAAAGUUUCUCAUGCAGCACGUUCAGUUGAUUUUCGUUAAUUUUCUUUGGAAAAAAAGCUUAUGGCAGUAAAUGGUGUGUUCAUUCAUUGUCGAACAAUGUGAAGAUCUGUUUCGAGUCUUUUAAUUCUCGGUCUCUUUGUAAGGUUAAUUGCCAAAUUUCUCAAAAUUUGGUUAUUAAUCCAGAAGAGGGAUCUCCGGGAAAUAAAUAGACUUGGAAGUAUGAUUCUUUCACUGGAUGAAAUUUAUUGCUGUUAAUGAGUCAUAAUUGGAAAAGUAAAUAAAGAUGACAAAAAGUUUAAUUAAAAUUAAAAAAUUAGUUUUUAUAAUUAUGUUUGAGAAAAGUUAAUGAAUUCUAGUGAAGUUUUUAAAAUAGUGUAAUAAUUUUUUUAUUUA